rnacentral:rRNA from 1 species
GACGAACGCUGGCGGCGUGCUUAACACAUGCAAGUCGAGCGGUGCGGCUAACGGGUGAGUAACGCGUGAGUAACUGCCCACCUCCCUGGGAUAACAGUUGGAAACUGCUGCUAAUCCCGGAUAGUGGGGGAUGACUCGCGUCAUAUCAGCUUGUUGGUGGGGUAGUGGCCUACCAAGGCGACGACGGGUAGCCGGCCUGAGAGGGCGACCGGCCAAAUUGGGCUGAGAUACGGCCCAAACUCCUACGGGAGGCAGGAGUGGAGAAGAUUGCACAAUGGGGGAGACCGUGAUGCAGCAACGCGCGUGCGGGAUGACGGCCUUCGGGUUGUAAACCGCUUUCAGCAAUGACUCGUUAGUGGCAGAAGAAGCACCGGCUAACUACGUGCCAGCAGCCGCGGUAAUA